GAAAGGAGAAUCUCCCUUGGGUGUUAGCAACACAGGGACUAUGACACACAGUCGAGCAGUUUUGGUUUCCUCCAAUAAAGGUCAGUGAUGCGCCUGCACACACAUACAUACAUGCGCGUGCCAGUACUUUAAGUCCCAUGACAUUGCCAGUGUGAUAUAAAAGAGAAUCAGGCCCUUAUAUGCCUAAUGGUUAAGAUCGGGGAUUGAGAGUCAAGAACAACAGGGUUCUGUCCCCAGCUCUCCCAGAGACUUGCAGUUCAUCUUCAGUAAAUCACUUGACCUCGUUUUACAGAUGGACAAAUGGUUGCACAGAGAGGUUGAUACCUACCCUCCUGUGUCAUUUUCAGAGCCUCUUGUAAAGCACUAGUUUAGUGCUUGUGAUUAUGUCUCCCUCUAGUGGCUGAACCCAGAGACUCCACGACCUGCUACUUGCUACCAGGGAACUUAUUUCGCAGAACAGCUUGUGCUUUUAUUGCAGAAGUUCCAGGAUUCGAUCCUCCCUGGCAACCGUGUCUUUUCAUGAGGUCAAGGAGGACAAGCUGGUGGGAUGAUUUAGCAGCUCAGUUCAUGCUGCUACAUGUCGCAGAGCAGAUAAAACUUCAGGACUCUUGCUCAUGGAGUUGGAACUCUCACUAUGGCAAGGUGAUCUUCCCCACACGGUGGCAUUGGGAACAUGAACAGUAACGCUUGCUCAACAGGGCUGGAACACAUCCCCGACUCUUCAGAGAACAGAUCCCUGAGUCUUCACAAGAGAGCCUGAUCUGAAAGGCCCAGGCUCAAAAUCACAGCUAGCUCGUUUUAAGCUUUUUUUUCCUUUGAGAUUGCAUCAAAGCCCAUGCAUGGUUUUCUGUUGCCUUCAUUGAGAGCAAGACCAGGAUCUUACUCCUCAUGGCAGUCAUAAUCAUUCCAGGUGAUUUUUCCAUUUCCCUGGAGAGAAUGCAGUGCUUGGAUCUCUUUGAGUUCACCCACUGCCAGCAGUUGGACAAUUUCUAGACCUGCUAGCACUGAACAUGGGUCAGCCUGGAAUUCAGAAAGAUCGGACAUUUCAUCUUUCUAGGGCACUGCUAUCCCCUAGUGGCAAGCUGGAAAAGUGACAUGUCUCCCUGCUGCUUUAAACUGGGAAAUGAUAUAGAGAGGGUGCAGACUGAAUGGCUAAGAGUUAUUUACCCCUUUUUUACACACACCACCCUCCUGUCCCUCACAUGACUGCAGAUGAUCUUGGACACACAGGGCAGUCUGGAUUAUUGAAAAGAGAGGCAGAUGGCUAUGUAGACAUUUUUAGUUUACCAUCAGAGAGUCCCUGUAGCUUUUAGAAUGUGGGGUUGUGGAGGUUGAAUGCCUGGGUGGAUAUGAUCUCCGCCUUGUCUAUUAGAACCUGGAUGUUAAGCCAUAAAUCAUCAGAAUGGGGAUUUUCUCUAGGUCUACAAUAAUUUCUCAGACUUGACCUUGAUGCAGAGAGAACACUAGAUAGGCAAUUCUUUUAGAUAGAAAUAAGUCCCAGCUUGACAAAGCCCUGGCUGGGAUGAUUUAGGUGGUGUUGGUCCUGCUUUGAGCAGGGGGUUGAACUAGAUGACCUCCUGAGGUCUCUUCCAACCCUAAUCUUCUAUGAUUCUAUGAUAAAGAGAAUUACAUGGCACAAGGAAUUAAUAAUCUCUGUACAGUCAGAGAUGAGAUGACCACCAUUUUUUUAUUUUGUUGGAGAGUGGCUAGAAUUUUAUUAAUUUGAGUUUAUCAGGAUAAUGGGAAAAAUUCUGAAAAGCACAUAAGUGACUUGGGAGCCUAAAGCACAUUGAUUUUUUCAAUGGUACAUGGGCUCCUAAAUCCCUAAUGUGCAUUUGAACAUUUUGCCCAAUGACAAUAAUGUUAUUUAUCAAGCCUCCUGCCAAAGGGGUUGGCUGGUGUACAUUAAUUAUUACUUUAAUUUGUAUUACAGUAGCAUCCACAGGGCUCAAGUGAGAUAAUGGUCCCAUUGUGCUAGGCACUGUACAAAUGCACGAGAGAGUCAGUGACCCAAAGAGCUUACAGUGUAAUUCAAUGCCCAUUCAAAUAAAUAGAUUCUUCCUAUUGACUUCUGUUUUAAUUUAAUCUGGCCAUAAACAGACAAGACAAUAAAGAGAUUUUAAAAUAAAAUUAAACACAGAGAACAAACAGAGAUGCGACUGGCACAGGGCAAAAAGGGGAGGAAUCAAGUGUAGGCGAUUAUCCCUGUAGGGGGAGCACCAGAUGGGGCUCAGAGGUGGUUUGCACAUUGUCUUUCAGAGGCACAUGUUCCUGAGUAGCUCUGCAACUGGGUCUGAUCAGACAAGAACCCCUUAGAACCAUCACUCUGAGAGUCUGAACUGAGUUUUGAUUAGUGGGUCCACCCCUCCCCCCCACUCUAGUUUCUAGCUGGGUAGAGGCCACGUGAGAAAGACUCUUCCCAUAAGAUCCUCAGGAAGGAGAGGUUUUGAGAGGCUUGGGCUGAACAUUCAACCAGUUGAGCACAUACCAAAGCACUGACCCUCAUGAGUUUCACCCAGCCUGAGAGAUGCCGUGGCUUUGGCCCUCUUUCCCCACCAGGCCCUGACAGCUGACGUCCCAGCUGCCACCGCUUUUCCUGUCCUGAGGGAGAGAUUCGAGGUCCACCAAUGAAACGUAAAGCAAAAGCUGCUGGAGCGGCAGUUCCAGCCGACAAGCUGAACAGGGCGGGAAAGCAGGAGGCAGACUGGCAUCUGAGAGAUUGCUUUUUUUAACUCUGAAGAGAAAUUGGCCAAGCAGCACAUGUUCCCUGAGGCGGUUUUGCUGCUUCAAGCUCAUUUGCGGAUGAAGGUUCCAUUUUUUCGAUCCUCCAUCUCCUGUUCCGUACUAGUCCUGGUUCCCCUGGAAGUUUUGGUUCUGAUGAGUACCUCAAGCCCCCUCAUUUCUCCUUUUUCAAUUGGCACCUUGGCUUUUUACUGUUAAAAACUGUGGGUUUUGAGCCCCUUCCCGGCCUCGUUUCAGAGUGGGGGAGCAAUUGGAAAAGUUGGGGCACUGUCAUAUCUGCCUGACUGGGGAGCAAGAGCUGCCUGGAAUUGGAACAGGAAGUUGAUCCAUUUCUGUAUUGCCUGCACCUCUCCCUCCGAGUGAUCCUGCCAUACCCAGAGAGGAACUGUGUCCGACUGAACUCAUACACCUGCCUGCUCUGCAUCAUCUCUGACCCUAGACUGCCCAACAAUGAAUUGAGUCCUACUGCAUCCUCACUGUAACCUUGCCUGCCAUAUAAAUGUUCGUGCCCUUUUGUACUUUGGCACCAGCCUGGCACUGCUUCACCUCAGUAUUUCUGGCCUGAUGCUGCAGAGUUAGGUUCCACUUGGGCACUUGGCAAGAUGUAAGAGCAGCUCGCAGGAGACAUCUGAAUCUGAUACCAUCUCCUUUGCUCUGAACCCCAGUGAAGAACAAGAGGCUGAGCAGCUCAGUAAUACAGAACAAGUGACAGUUUGAUUUAUUCUGAUGUUAGUGAGGAGCUUCUUGUGCUGCGUAACAACACAUCCAGCAGCUCUCCAAAGAGGCAGCAUGCAUACCAACCUGAGCAUUAGGAACUCCUGAGUUCUAAUCCUGCCUCUGCCACUAAUUCAAUGUAUAGCCUUGGCCACAUCACUUAAUACCUUUGUGUCUCAGUUUCCCAUUUGUUAAAUGGAAUAAUUAUCCAUGUGCUCCUCCUUGGUAGAGUCUGGAUCCCCCUCAAAGUAUAGUGUGAUUGGAACCCAGGCUUGGAGAAGGGAAGAAUGGAAAGAGGUAUGUUGCUCUCUGAUCACAAUCUAAUUUAAAGUUGCAGUAGCGCUAUCUUCUUUAGAGUUAGCCAACGACCUAUGAGGGAGGGAGGAUCAGUGACUUGCCUGAAGUCACCCAGGAAAAUUUAUGGCUGAGUCAGGAACUGAACCACAUCUCCUGAGUCCAGGGCCUUAACCAAAGACCGUCCUGCCUUAUUCAAGGGGAUGCUGAGAUGGUGUUUACCUCACACUGAUCAACACACUGAGGGCCAUAUCCUCAGCUGAUGUAAAUCAGCGCUGCUCUGCUGAAGUCAAUGGGGCUAUGCUGAUUUACACCACCUUAGGAUCUGGUCCUGAAAGUUCCAAAAGAAAUAGCUGCCCCUGAAUAGGUAUGAGCAUAUGUCCUCAUGCCCGUGUGCUAUGCGUCUUGCAGAGGGGUGUCGCCUGUUAGGGAUUAUUCACAUUCAUUAUUGCCUGGCAGAGAUAACAGUCAGGUACUGAAGCAGAGGGCACCAUGGGUUGCUUAGAAAUGCCCUAAGUUUUGGCUGCCUGCCGGUAAGAGAUACCUCAUGAUACACACAGAUGCCUUUUAAAAACAUUAAGCAAACACAAACACUCCACAUACAAACCCCACAUGACAAAGUCACAAAACAAACACACAGACACAGGAAUGAAAAAUCGUGAACCCCAAACAAAGGGAAACACUCAACGUUUAAAAUACACGAGACCAGAUUUUCCCUUUACAAUAAAAACGUGAGCAGGGCAGAAGAGGAACAAAGCUAGAAAAGAGUAAAUUGCAUCCUGUCAUCUCACUAAGAAUUUCCAAUAGGGCGAGGCAGAUGUUUCAUAGAAGGAAAAGGUGACGUUUAUUCAAAUGUAGUAAAAGUAGCCUCAUUUAUGACUCCUGGAGACUGAGUAUGCAGCUGUUUGCCUAUAACAAAACAAUCAUGUCAAACGGGAGAUCCCUCUUGCUGUGUCAAGGGAGCAGGCAUGGGAGCCAGCAGGUGUUUCAGCAGGAGCAUUCACACAGGCAAUAUGAGGGUGGGACUGUGGUGCUGAAUCCCGGGAGAGGAUAACUUGUGAGAAAGGUCAGUCUGAAGGGGAUAAGAAGAGCGAGUGCUGUACACUCUGUACAGUAGGGGCCUGAUAUUUGGAAGUGCUGAGCAGCCACAUCUCAAAUUGAAGUCCCUGGGUGCUGACGAUAUUUGUCCCCUCUGAAAAUCAAGCCCUACGUGGAGAGAGAGAGCGCUGCAUGCUUUAUCUAUUAGCGCUUCCCAUUUCAAUCCGGCCGUAGCCACGCAUACCUAUUAGCUCCAGAACAGCGGUCUCACAAAUGCUGAAGUUGGAAAACAGCGGAUUGUUUUGUACAACCAGUAACGUCUGCUGCAGAGUUAAGCUAACAAGAUUUAUCUCCCAUCACAAGCACCUAGGCCAUUCAAAGUCAAUCAGCUGGAAACCAGAGCUCCUCCAUUCAAUGACAUUAACCUGAACACCAAAGAGCUUAUGACCUAAUGUGGAGGGGUUCUAGCAGGACCAUAUUGCCAACAGAUUGUAAGCUCCAUGGGGCAGAGGCUGUUUCUUCCUAUGUGUUGAACAGUGUCUAGCACAACAGGGUCUUGAUCUGGAUUAGAAAUAAGUCAAUAUAUAUUAUCAAUAUGACAUGCAUAUCACUAGAAUGGGCUAUUUCAAUUUGGCAUCAGCCCAUUCAGCAAAUACAUCGUCCCCCGAAGCACAAUAACCUCUCAUUAGCAGCAGAAUUAGAUACAAAGAGGGGCAGAAGGAGAAAUGUAUAUCUGUCCUAUGCAAAUACAGGGAACAUGUCGAGUUCAGGAUGUAGCCCUGGCCACACCUCCUGUUGGGAAAGCCACACCCACUUUUCCAUACCAAAAGUGAACUAGCCACUUGUAACUUUUGGUGUAACUUGCUCCAAUGGAAUUCACAACAUAGCCAGACAACACAUGGAAAUGUACCACAGGGCAUACCCACAAGUGCAUACAGAACACAGAGCCAAGCAAGGCCAAAUCUACACUGGAACCUUUUGCUGGUAUAAUCGCAUCGGUUAGGGGUGGGGGUUUUUUUAAAUGACAUUUCAAUACUUGCAAAAGCCCUAGUAUAGAUGCAGUUAUACCUGCUAAAAAGUGCUUUUGCCACUAUAGCUUAUUUCGCUUGCCAAACCAGGAUAAGCUAUGCCGGCAAAAGCAUUUUUUGCCAGCAUACGUUGCAUCUACACUAGAUGGUUCUGCCAAAUAGCUAUAUGGGCAAAUCGUCUCUAGUGCAGACUUGGACCAAGACAUGUAGGAAGCACCUUGGACUGUCUGGCGCUGUUGGAGCAGAGAUUGUGUGGUGUGGCUGGUGGUGGCCAUCUCACCCCAUACCGCAGAGACAGCAGGACUAGUGAGGGGAGAGAAAACUUUGGUAUUGGGGACUGUGCCUUUAAGGGCUGAGCGUCCUAGACAGAAACAUCUGAGGUCACUCUCUCUCCAUGAAAAACCUCUUCAACCCAAACUGGGAGAUCAAGCCCCCUCAAUAGGAAAGACUCUCCUCUAUUUUCAAGCUCCCCCAUCCCUACUUUGAGACUGUCACAGUAGUAUGAUGGAUAAAGAUGACCACAAAAAAAAUUAGUUUUUUUUUUUAUUUCCCUUUUUUUCACCUCAGAAAUAUCAGGAAUGUCAAGCCCCCUCUUCCCUGGUUUUGUGGGAGGACUUCUUGGGAGAUUCACAUGUGCUUACAGGCACUCAGCAGCUUAGCUUAGUGGUUCUCAAUCAGGGGUACGUGUACCUCUUGGGGUAAGCAGGGUCUUCCAGGGGGUCCAUGAACUCAUCUAGAUAUUUGCCUAGUUUUACAACAGGCUACAUAACAAGCACUAGCGAAGUCAGUACAAACUAAAAUU